UGGGAUUUCAAAAUCGUCCAGGAUUCUGAUGGACUACAGUGCAGCUUGGAGUCCAAACACACCCGGUACCAGAACCGAGCCGUCAGCCCCGGUGCUGAUCAGGGAAGCCCGGGGGACGGAGGCAGGGAGCCACGGAGGGAACAGAGCUCCUUCGUGAAAGUCAGCCGCCCCCGCUCUGAACACCACGAGAUAGAACAGGCCACCAGUUAUUAGUGGUGAAAAAUGGAGGCAAGAUGAAGGAAUCUACACUGAAACAAGUUAAGCUGAGCUUUGGGAAGCCAACAGGUCAGGGGGAAAGAAAGAGAGAAGGAGAUUCACACAUGAUGUAAACAAAGAUCCUCAUCAAACAAACUGAAGUUCUAGAAACCUCCUCUGUCUCCUCUCCUCAGGAGAAGAUGAUCUCCAGGAUCCUGCUGCUCAUCAUCAUCAACUCAUGUCUCUGUGGUCAGUUUCCAUCUUCUCUUUGUUCUAAAUCCAUCAAUAAUCAGUGAAAAGUCUGUCAGUGAAGGUAACACUUCAAUCCUCCAGCUGCAUUUGAUC